CCCACCGCCCCCUUUAUAGCCGCGGGUCCUGCCCCCCGGGGAGGGGAACAAAGGCGGUCUCGGUGCCAUUCACACACAGGGUUCGGGACAAGGAGGGGCUGGAGGGCCAGCUGUCACCAGCAGUGACAUCCCCAAGCAGCACCUGGAGGGGGUGAGGGAUGAGCCGCUGCAGGGUGUUCCCCCAGCAGUGCCAAGGCCACCGCUGGCCGUGUCCCCAAAGUGCCACAUCCACGUGGAUUUUAAAUCACUGCAGGGCUGUGACUCCACCGCUGCCCUGGGUGCCCUUUCCAUAAGGAAUUUUCCCGAAUAUCCAACUAAACCUCCCCAGGCACAGCUGGAAGCUGUGUCCUCCUGUCCUGUCCCCUGGGAACAGAGCCCGACCCCCCUGGCUGCACCUCCUGUAGGGUCAGCACAGGCUCACAAUUUCUGCUGCUUUUUCUGCCCUGGCAGGGCACCAGGGCUGGCUCGUGCCUGUCACAAGGUGCAUUUCUCGGGAUCUCUCUCUCCUACAAGUACAAAACCAAAAGUGCUGCCUGGAGCCCGUGAGGAACCAGGAAAGUUUUGCAAUGACGGAGUAGUAGGAAAAACACAAACCCUUCCUUUUAAAGCAAAGCCAGCCCUCCUUUGAACGUCAAUUCCUCUUUUUAGCUCAAUCCUUGGAACAAGAGCAGGAUCUUUUGCCCUCCUUCUGGAUCAAGAAAACGCUGGAGAUGCCAAGACAUGCCUGGGAUAGGGAAACCAUUUCCCCUAAAGCACGGGAAGCUCCGGAUGAGCAGCAGAGCAGAGCUCAGCACAGACCCCGCGUUUCUCUUGUCCUCGUGCUGGUUCUGGGGACACAAAUGUGGUUUGGUGCCACCUCAUUGUCCCACCCUGGGCCAGCACAGGCUCACCUCAUGUCCUGCUCCUGGCCAAGCUGCUCCUGGGGCUGGAAGAGGGAUUAAAUUCUUGGUAAAUCCAUGAGAGCACAA